rnacentral:rRNA from 1 species
CCUACGGGAGGCAGCAGUGAGGAAUAUUGGUCAAUGGACGAGAGCCUGAACCAGCCAAGUAGCGUGAAGGAUGACUGCCCUAUGGGUUGUAAACUUCUUUUAUAUGGGAAUAAAAUGUUCCACGUGUGGGAUUUUGUAUGUACUAUAUGAAUAAGGAUCGGCUAACUCCGUGCCAGCAGCCGCGGUAAUACGGAAGGCCCGAGCGUUAUCCGGAUUUAUUGGGCUAAAGGGGAGCGUAGGCGGGGGCUUAAGUCAGAGGGAAAGUCGGGCGGCCAAACCUUACCCUGCAAUGGAAACUGGACGGCUUGAGUUCAGGACAGGCAGGCGGAAUUCGUGGUGUAGCGGUGAAAUGCGUAGAUAUCACGAGGAACCCCGAUUGCGAAGGCAGCCUACUGGACUGCGACUGACGUUGAGGCUCGAAAGUGCGGGUAUCAAACAGGAUUAGAUACCCCAGUAGUC